GCCGCCCGGUGUGGCGUUGGGAGCGCGGGACCCGGUCCCCGGAGGGCGCCGACCUCGCGGUGCCGGAGGAGGGCGCGCGGUCUCCGGGCGCGCGGCACGGGUGCAGCCCAGCAAGGGCCCUUCUGUCCUGGCUGCCCUCGGCCCUUGCAGCUGCGAGCUCAGCGCGCAUCCUAAGCCAGCGUACUGGGCCGUCGCGGGGGCCGCAGCCAGGAGAGGCAGCCCGCGUCUCCGACGCGCGGUUCCCAGGCGGAGCCACGCGUCACGCCGGCCUGACUGCAAGGGAGGCUCGCUUCUCCCCCGGCCGUCUGCAGGAGGGAGGUAAACCCGCCUUUCUCCAAAUCGGUCUGGAGGGGAUCCAGGUUUCUCUUGGUCGGGUCCCGGGCAAGGCAGCGACCCCAGCUUUCCCCACUCUGGCCCUGAAGGAGAGGGUACCCGAUUCUCAAAGACCGGCCCCGGGCGGGACGGCCACUCCGGCUUCCCUAGAUAGGACUCUUCAGGAGAAGGGACUUUGGCUUCUCCCUAACCGGUCCUGGGGCGCGAGAAGGAGGGGCAGGGACAGCCUAAAGCUCCUCGAAAGGGUCCUUGGAAAGAACCCCAAAUUAUUCUCUCGUGGUCCCAGACGAGAUGGAGGAUCUUGGGUUUCCAGAACAGGUUCCCAGUAGGGACAGGGUCCUCGAAGAUGGAAAGAGAAGCCCCGAUGCCCAAGGCCUGCUCCCUGGAGGCCGGGGAACCUUGGCUCCGGCAGCUCGGAGUCUCCGCGUCCCAGGGAUGUAGCGCCUACGCUGCUUGGCUGAGAGCUGGGUUUCGGGAGCUCAGGGAGGAGGUGUCCAAGCAGGUGAGCGCCUCCUGGGCGGGACAGGCAGCUCGACUAGCACCAACCUGAAGACGCCUGACUGUAUCCCCAGGCCCGCCACCUCGCUCCUCAGCAGGGUCAUCUCCCAGACAUCGUUUCCCCGUGCAGCAGCCGCCGCUCUCCGGGUCGGGGACAGUUCCCCAGAGAGCCUUGGACGGAAGCGGUGGGAGCAACACAGGAUAAAGUUUGGGGCAGUGUCAGCGGGCGCCAGGGCCACGCUGGAGACCAAAGCCAGGGGCCACCCUUCUUGGAGCGCUUUUCCCUCUUUCCCGGGUUUGUGUCCCCGACUUUCUCCACCCUGAGCUACCCCAAGCCGGCUCCUUGGUGCCCCUGGCACCUUGGCGUGCUGAGCACUUUGCCAGGAAUAAUCUGACCCCGGCGCGCAGCUGCACAAAGAAAGAUUUUGGGCGGAGAACACCCCUCCCAGCCCGGGAGGGAGUGCGCGGCUUGGCACCCUGGCUGGAGCGAGCUGCGCCGACGGGCGGCGACUGCCACUCGGUGGAGCCGGGAGGCGGCCAAUCCUCCCUGUGGACCGCAGGGAAGCGAGUGUGACUUCACUGGCCUAUUCAGCCCUCCCCAAAACUGAGGACCUGAGUUCACAGGGGAAACUGUCCCCGCUCCACGUAGCAGAGAAAGAAGUGGCUCUGGAGUCCAACAGACUUGGGUUUACUCGCUGUGUGACCCUGUGCAAGUCAUUUAAUUUCUCUGCACCUAUUUCCUAGCAAAAAAAAAAAAAAAAAAGCCAAACAGACAAACCAAAAAAGCUGUUUAUCCACCCUCUCUUGGUGGUAGGAAGUAAAUGAGUUUACAAAGGUGAGUGUGCCUGAGCUAAAAGAGAUGCCUAAUAAGCGUAAGAGUUGAAUGUGAGGCCUUUAUUGGUUUACUAAUGGAGGUAGGUUCUUGAUCAGAUUUUUGUUUUUGAAGAGCAUGUGUGCGUUUGAAAGCAGGUUUCAUCAGCUCUCCUCCAGUCCCAUUCAUCCACCAGUGAAUGGUGGUUAUUUGGGUCCUCAUGAAUUAAUUGAAUUAAUGAAUGAGGUAUUUCUUCAUAUCAGGAGCCUUGGCUAAGACUGUUGCGAAUCCAAGCCCAGGAGGAUUGUUUCAGUGGCUUAGGCUAGUCUGGGGUUCAGGCCAAGUGUACCCAGUGUCUCUUUUCACACUAAUCCUGCGUGUUUUAGUUGAGCAUUGGCAGCUGGUGGCCCUAACACUGGGAAGGACAUACAGCUGGUAUUCACCGGGCUAAAGAGGUUUUAGAACUACCUAAAAGUCCAGGGCCAGCAGGUGGGGAACUGGAUAGGGAGUGUCCUGGACUUUCACCCUUCAGGCUACUCCUGCCUAAACAGCCCUCUGGACUUUGACACCCCAACUCAGGCUAUAGAUUGGGCAAUCAUCUCUUCUCCCUUCUUAUGGCUAAGAGACCUUGAAAGAGAUCUUGCAGGAACCAUGCUGAUGUUUUCCAAGUAAAUAUUCUGCAAUUAGCAAACCUGAUUCCGCCACUCAAAGUUUGAAAGAAAAGUUGCUGGCCUAGUUUGUGACAUUUUCUGCUGGCUCCUUCUUUCUUAGAAUAAUUAUGUUAAAAGUAACUCGAACACAUUCUGCUCAUUGUCCUAACUUAAGGCUGUUAAGUUGGCAUUCCCCUGGUGUUCUAUUUGCUUUUUAAUUUUUUCCUGAAUUAGGAUCCCUCACAAUCCUUGGAAUCAAUGACUUGUUUUCCUGCCUCAAAUCUUUGUCCACAGUAUUCCAGUUCAUCCCCAAGCAGCUUCUGUUCUUUGUGCCUGCUGUCUAAGUAUAGUCUUUAGGUACUCUAGACCGGAAUAAAAUGGUCACUAUUAAAAAAAGACUGAAACAUGGGGUUUCUUCCCCAAAACCUGAAUCCAGUUGAGAUCAUUAUUUUGUCUUUUCCAAGUUGUUAGUAUUAUAUUGAUUUCCUUUUCUCUCCCACCACUUCUAUUCUCCCUCCCUCUUCCCACCGUCCCCCCUCCCUCCAACGGCAAUAAUUGUGCUUUAGAAAGCUCUGAAAGGCCUGCUCUGUUUCUGACCAGGGCCUCCUUUGAAAAGGAGAUUACAGUGAUUAAAAAUAACAAGUUGAGGAUCCUCAAGGGGCUUCCUUUAUAUAGGAGGACAAUUUGCAGGACCAGCCUUUCCCAGAUCACAAUUUCAAGCCAAAUAGAAGAAAAUCCACUGAAAUGUUUAAUAAUUGAUUGAAAAUAAAAGAGGCUCUUUUGUCUUACCAGAGGUCUGUUUAUUAGGAAAAUAAAGUCAGAUUCUGGCUAAUGAGAGUGGCUUUUCCUAGAUGUUUUUUAAAGGGACAUUUCCAGGAACUUGAUGGGAAAAGAAUGUCCAGUAGAGGUUUCAAAAGCUGGUCCAACUUCAAGCAUAAUUGGGGGUUUUAUCCUAAACUGAGAGGUUUGCAGACCUCCAAAGCUGCAUGGCUUUUUCUUUGUCCCACACUGAGACACACAUCGACCACAGGAGUAGACACCUCAGACUGGUGGAAAGCGCACAGGCUUUGAUGUUGGGUGGGUUGGUUUCAGGUCCUGCUUGGUCACAUAUUCACUGAAGCCACUUCACCUCUCUGAGCCAAUUUCUCCAUCUGUAAAAUGAGGGUGUUUUGAUUUUUUCCCAGCAUUCCUGUGAAAAUUAGAAAUAAUUCACGUCAAAAGAAAUUGUCACACAGUGGUUGCUAAAAAAAUAUGAGAUGAUUAUUUUGGAAAUAGAAAAAUACUUAGCGGCAAAGCCCUGGAUAAGAUAUUGUGUUAAGUUCUUCCUACUCAUCUCACUUAUUCCUUAUAGUACUUUGAGGAAGUUUCUGAUCGUUACUAUUUUACAGAUAAGAAGACUAAAUCUCAGAGAGGUUUAGUUCCUUACCCAUGGUCACACAGCUAAUAAUCGGCAGAAUCAGGAUAUGAUCUCAGGUCUGUCUGACUCCUAAAUCUGUGCUCUUAACCAGUCUUCUGUGUUGACUCAAUGAAAUUAGUUGGGAAUAGAAUGAAAUUCACUCAGCUACCCUCAGCCUUCUGGAUGGUGAGCCUUCCUUCAAGGAAAACAGAACAACAAAUCAAGAUAGUAACUGACAUCUCUCAGGAGAAUUACUUUAUAUUACUACAAAGUAAUAUAAAGUGAUAAAUCCUUAUUCACAUUUGCUCUUUUCUCUUAUUGGCUUCAAUGUUGUAUUUCCCCAUAAAUUAGAGGAUUAAUUUAGAAUCAUGAAGAACCUUGUCAGUCUUUGGCCAAUUCCUUUUGUUCGUGGGGAAACAAAAGGAAAUUAGAUAGGGGGGAAGCAAAAAAACCCAGAAAGAAAAGAAAAAAGAAAAAACAGAUUUUACUGUUGUUUUAUUUUUACAUACAGAUGUUAUAUGACCAUGCCUGUAAAAUUAUAUGUUUGGAAAGGACAUAUUUAGGAUCUGAGAAAUUGGUCUUUUAAACUAUUUCCUGGAUGGUAGAGUUUUUAAAAAUGUAAAUGCUGCUGAUGAUAUUAUAAUUAAGCCACCCCUCCUACUUCUCUUCCCUUUUUUGC